rnacentral:lncRNA from 1 species
GGGGAAGGAGAAGGAGCUGACGGGUAGGCCCCGCCUGUCAGCGGGAGAGAGAGAGGGGGAGGGGAUGCUAGCGGGCUAGCUGGGCCAAGCAGGUCGAAAAGGGAGGGGGAGGGGAGAGAAGGGUGGAUUUCCUUUUUAUUUUUAAACUUGUUUUCAAGAACAUUUGCAAUUUGAAUUUUGAACAAAAUUUUCUUUUGUAUAAAUUCACACAUCACAAAAAUAAGUGUUGCAGCAUAAAUGCAUCAACGUGUUUAUAAUUUCCUAUUAAAUUUUAAUUUCCCAAAGUUUAUUUAUUUUCCUAUAUUUUUAUGCUCACAAAAUUAUUUAAUAAAGUCAAAUUCAUCUAGUUUUAAAAGAGCCAAAUUUUAGGUGUUACAAAUUCCGAUCAAACUAUGCAAUUAGUUUUUAUUUUUGUCUAUAUUUAAUACUCUAUGCAUGCGUCUAAAGAUUCGAUGUGACGCGGAAUCUUGAAAAAUUUUAGAUUUUUGGAUAGAAGUAAACAAGGCCUGAAAUGGCUGGGAUACAUCUGUGGAGAUGGUUGACCCAACUAACUCUCAUGUAUUCUGUCUCUACUAAAGUCGGAUUUUAUAGACGGUUUAGAACAGGAUUCAUCUCUAGAAAUCAAUUUUUAAGCCGCUUCUACAAAUUGCUGCCAAGAAAUCACAAAUCAGGACAGAAAGAAUUGCAACAAAAAAAAAAAAAAACUCAGAGAGACCCCAUUAGGUCAACCCAGGACUGCUAGCCUUACGCGUUCAUCAUCUAACCACUCCAUCAUUACAACAUUUGUGUCUAUUUGGGAUAUUCAUCCUUCUCAUUAAUUUUUAAGGCUCAGUGGGAGAAUUCCAUUCCCCUACCUAUUUUUUGUAUUAAUAUUAAGGAAAAGUAAGUACAGAUGCACAAGGCGGGCAUGAAAGGAGCUUGCAAGUUCAACAAGAAAAAGAGAAUCAGCACAUAUUUAAAGAACAUGCAAGGUUGGGUUUGGCCUAGUUGCGAAUCAAGCCAAUUUCAUCUCUAAACCGAGCUUUUCACCUGGUUAGCAUGGCUUGUUCUCAAAGAUCAAUCCCUUCCUCCUCAUUUUAUGUUCAUUCGAUUUCGAAAUGAGUAUUUGAGACCCUAAACGAAUUCAAAUAGAAAAGUUAUCAACUAUAAAGUUAUAUAAUUUUUCGAGAUCUACAUAAUUGGUUUUGGUCGUUUCUCCAUACACGAUUGUUUAUAAAAUUUUGAAUUUAAAAUUUUAAAAAUUAAAACGUAAUUUUCCAUGCAUAGAUGAUUCAAAUAAAAAAGUUAUCAAGUACAAUUUUGCAUAACCUUUUGAGAUGUACAACUUUCUUUGAUCGUUUUUCCAUCCGAGAUAGUUUAAAAAAUUUAAAAUUUUAUUGUGUAGCCCUAUUUCUGGAGGCGGCUCCUAUCUCUAGCCGUCUCAUUUAAAAUUUUAUUGUGCAGACCUAUUUCUAGAGACGGUUGGAAAUAGAGCCACCUCUAAAAGUAGAGGUAUUUAUAGAGGCGGUCCGAAAAAACAACCGGUGGCUCAUUAGUUUGGAGGCCACUAUAGAGGUAGCUGCAAAUGGAUCCAAUUCUACACAAAAAAGCCUCUGUUGCUGAAAAUAAAAUUGCAUUAGUGUCUAAAGCACUAUAUAUAUAUAUUUACAUUAAUUACAAAAGCUUUGAUUACUCAUAUCCUUGGUUCUCUUUUUUUCUUGUCAUUACUUCGUUUCCAUGGGCCACAAACACUACUGCACAAAGGAUUUCCAAAGGGGCAACCAAAAACAAUUUUAAGAGAUAAACACCUAAAUAAAAUUUUGACCACUAUUGAUGUUUGUGAGUGCAAAUAUAAUAUUAUGGAUUCCACAAGUGCGCAGAGUAUCAGUGUAGCAUUUUAUCAGAAGUAUUUCAGGUAUUGUUAUUUAUAUUUUACCAUAGAAAAACAAUAGAAUAAACAUUUAUUGGUUAAUAAAGGAGUAUUUACUAAUCAAUAUACUAGCAUAGCUAAGCAGGGGGAAGGUAAUGAUAGGAAUUAAGUAUAAAGACACUAAGGAGAU